UACAGAGGUCCCGAGCGUUGUUCGGAUUCACUGGGCGUAAAGGGUGCGUAGGCGGUCGGCUAAGUUUGAUGUGAAAUCUCCGGGCUUAACCCGGAAACUGCAUUGAAUACUAUUCGGCUUGAGGUCUGGAGGGGGGACUGGAAUUCUCGGUGUAGCAGUGAAAUGCGUAGAUAUCGAGAGGAACACCAGUGGCGAAGGCGAGUCCCUGGACAGGUCCUGACGCUGAGGCACGAAAGCUAGGGGAGCAAACAGG
rnacentral:rRNA from 1 species